UACAGAGGGGGCGAGCGUUGUUCGGAAUUACUGGGCGUAAAGGGCGCGUAGGCGGCCUUCUAAGUCGAACGUGAAAUCCCCGGGCUCAACCCGGGAACUGCGUCCGAUACUGGGAGGCUUGAAUCCGGGAGAGGGAUGUGGAAUUCCAGGUGUAGCGGUGAAAUGCGUAGAUAUCUGGAGGAACACCGGUGGCGAAGGCGGCUCACUGGCCCGAUACUGACGCUGAGGCACGAAAGCGUGGGGAGCAAACAGG
rnacentral:rRNA from 1 species